AUAGCUCAGUUGGUUAGAGCAACCGGCUCAUAACCGGUUGGUCGCAGGUUCGAGUCCUGCU
rnacentral:tRNA from 2 species